rnacentral:rRNA from 1 species
GCGCGAAAACUUUACAAUGCUGGCAACAGCGAUAAGGGAACCUCGAGUGCCAGGUUACAAAUCUGGCUGUCGAGAUGCCUAAAAAGCAUUUCAUAGCAGGGGCCGGGCAAGACCGGUGCCAGCCGCCGCGGUAACACCGUCGGCUCGAGUGGUAACCGUUAUUAUUGGGUCUAAAGGGUCUGUAGCCGGCCGGAUAAGUCUCUUGAGAAAUCUGGCAGCUUAACUGUCAGGCUUUCAGGAGAUACUGUCUGGCUCGAGGCCGGGAGAGGUGAGAGGUACUUCAGGGGUAGGGGUGAAAUCUUGUAAUCCUUGAAGGACCACCAGUGGCGAAGGCGUCUCACCAGAACGGACCUGACGGCAAGGGACGAAAGCUAGGGGCACGAACCG